rnacentral:misc_RNA from 1 species
UUUCCGUAGGUGAACCUGCGGAAGGAUCAUUCAUAAUAAAGUGUUUUAUGGCACUUUUUAAAAAUCCAUAUCCACCUUGUGUGCAAUGUUAGAUCUCGUCAAUCUUGGCGAGAUUUUUAUACAUCAACUCAUUCUUUAACUAAUUUGUCCGAAAAAUAUUAUGAAUACUUAAUUCAAAAUACAACUUUCAACAACGGAUCUCUUGGCUCUCGCAUUGAUGAAGAACGCAGC